UGUGAUUUAGAAUUCGUAUGCAGGUAAUUUAUGUACGGGGUUAAAACCUACACUAAUUCAGACUGUGAAACUGUGUAUGGCUCAUUAAAUUAGUUAUAGUUUUUUUGAUGGUACCAUACUACUCAGAUAACUGUAGUAAUUCUAGAGCUAAUACGUGCACCAAGUCCUGACUCUUUGGAAGGGAUGCAUUUUUUAGAUAAAAAGUCGGCGCGGGCUUGCCCGCUUCUCCGGUGAAUCAUGAUAACUCGACGGAUCGCACAGCCCUUGUGCUAGCGAUGCUUCAUUCAAAUUUCUGCCCUAUCAACUUUCGAUGGUAGGAUAGAGGCCUACAAUGGUGGUGACGGGUGACGGAGAAUUAGGCUUUUAUUCCAGAGAGGGAGCCUGAGAAACGGCUACCAAAUCCAAGGAAGGCAGCAGGCACACAAAUUACCCAAUCCUGACAUGGGGAGGUAGUGACAAUAAAUAACAAUAUUGGGCUCAUCGAGUCUGGUAAUUGGAAUGAGUACAAUCUAAAUCCCUUAACGAGGAUCCAUUGGAGGGAAAGUCUGGUGCCAACAGCUGCGGUAAUUCCAGUUCCAAUAGCGUAUAUUUAAGUUGCUGCAGUUAAAAAGCUCGUAGUUGGAUCUUGGGUCGUAAAGGUCGGUCCGCCUACUCUGUGUGCACCUGCCCUUCCGUCCAUUUUGUCAGCGGUGUGCUCCUGGCCUUAAUUGGCUAGGUCGCAGCUCCGACACUGUUACUUUGAAAAAAUUAGAGUGCUCAAAGCAAGAUUAUGCUCUGAAUACAUUAGCAUGGAAUAACGUGAUAGGAGUCUGGUCCUAUUGUGUUGGCCUUCGGGACCAGAGUAAUGAUUAAUAGGGACUGUCGGGGGCAUUCAUAUUUCAUUGUCAGAGGUGAAAUUAUUGGAUUUAUGAAAGACGGACCACUGUGAAAGCAUUUGCCAAGGAUUUUUCAUUAAUCAAGAACGAAAUUUGGGGGCUCGAAGACGAUCAGAUACCGUCCUAGUCUCAACCAUAAACGAUACCGACCAGGGAUCGGUGGAUGUUGCUCUAAGGACUCCGCUAGCACCUUCUGAGAAAUCAGAGUGUUUGGGUUCCGGGGAGAGUAUGGUCGCAAGGCUGAAACUUAAAGGAAUUGACGGAAGGGCACCACCAGGAGUGGAGCCUUCGGCUUAAUUUGACUCAACACAGGGAAACUUACCAGGUCCAGACAUAGUAAGGAUUGACAGAUUGAGAGCUCUUUCUUGAUUCUAUGGGUGGUGGUGCAUGGUCAUUCUUAGUUGGUUGUUAUAGCUCCAAAUCUCACUAUUAUGUUUUGUGAUGCUGCAUUCAUGGCCUAGGGCAACCCCUCCUUCCAGAUGGUCCAAAAUCUAAAAAACAGUGUUUUAUUCCCUGUACGCGACAUUUCCCUGAGUUAAACGCGUGUAUACACAGGUUCAUAUAUACCCAACCCGCGUAUAUGUAUUAAAACACUUAAAAAAUUAUAAAACUCCUUUUUUUCGGGCGGAGAUCGCGGGUUUUACCUGCUGAUCACCUGUUAGUGCCCGUGGCCUCAACUGUUCCCAACCAAUUCCUAACUAAAAAACUACUUUGGAAUUGGUAUAAAAAGACACCAAAGGGAAGGCCUAAAAGGAGGAGAGAAGAUAGAGAAAGGUUAUUAUACUGAGAUUUCCCCCUGAUCAGGU
rnacentral:rRNA from 1 species